UCUUGAGAGUAGGAAAGGGUUUGUAUCAUAACAUCGGGGCGUUUCAUUUUAUGAGAUAAAUGGAAAUGAGGAAAAACUUCCUUUCUACGGGACACCACUUCAUAUGAUGAUUGCAGGAAUUUGGAAUGGUGAAGUGAAAGAAAAAAGAUGAAUAAACCGAAGAUGACAACAGAGAAGGGAAUUCCCAGUAACUCGAGGGUCCUGAUGCUGCUGGGUCAGCUGGAGAGGAUGAGUGGGGAGGCUGUGCUCGCAGACGUGGAGACAGCCCGGCACGUCACGGCCAAGAUCUUGCACCUCAUCCAAACUCAAGAGAAAAUCAGGAAGGAGAUCAUGGCCAAGGGUUCGACUGGGAUGGAAGUCAUCCUGACGUCUUUAGAGAGCUCACGGGAUCUACAGACGGUGCUGAAUAUACUCUACAUUCUGAAUGAGUUGGUUUCAGUGGGCGGGGGUCGCAGGGUGGGGGUGCUGGUGUCUAAGGGAGGAACGGCAAUUCUGCUCCAGCUGUUGCUAAGUGCUAGUAAGGACUCGCCCCCCAGUGAGGAGCUUAUGUUGCAGCUCCACUCCAUUCUGGCCAAAGUGGGACCAAAAGACAGGAAGUUUGGCAUCAAAGCUCGUAUCCAUGGAGCCCUGAACAUCACAGUAAACCUCCUGAAACAGAACCUGCAGAACCAUAAACUCCUGUUGCCUUGCCUACAAGUCCUGCGGGUUUACUCCAGCAACUCUGUGAACGCUGUCUCUCUGGGAAAGAGUGGUGUUGUAGAUUUGAUGUUCAAAAUCAUCGGUCCCUACAGUAAGAAGAAUACCAGUAUACUGAAAGUGGCUCUGGACACAUUGGCAGCUCUGCUGAAAUCAAAGACCAAUGCUCGCCGGGCGGUGGACCGUGCCUAUGUGCCUAUGCUGCUGGCCAUCUACCAGGACUGGCAUCGCAACGACACACGCCACCGGCACAUGCUCAUACGCAAGGGCAUUCUGGGAUGCAUCAAAAACAUCACCAACAUCAAGCUGGGAAGGAAGGCCUUCAUUCACGCAGACGGCAUGAGGAUUCUGUACAGCACCUCCACUGAGUGCCUUCCGGUGAGGACUCUGGAUCCUCUUGUUAAUACCUCCAGCCUCAUAAUGCGGAAGUGUUUCCCCAAAAACCGCCUGCCUCUCCCCACCAUCAAGAGCGUCUUCCACCACCAGCUGCCCCACGUCCCGGUGGGGGGGCCCGUCGCCCAGCUCUACAGCCAGCCGCCUGAGGUGGAUGAUGUUGUGGAUGAGAGUGACGAUAAUGACGACACUGAGCCUGACGCAGAGAAUGACACUGAGAACGAGGAGGAAGACAAAGAACUCAACGCUCAGAAUGAUGACAUUGAAACGGACAUCAAUAAACUCCGCCCCAAAAAGAACCUGAGUAGGCCUUUUGAGGAGUUGAAGAUGUAUGAACGUUUUUUCCCGGAACUCUCUGAAGACUUUAAGGACUACUUUGAUUGUGAGAAGACAUGUUCAAACUCGGCACCACAAGCCCCGAAGUCUCUUGGCCCGAUCAUUGUCCCCACCGCACAGGUACAGGCCCCGGCUCGUUCGGGCUCCCCCCACGGGGAGGCCUGCCUGGCCAACGACGCAUCCUGCAGCCCCCCUCUGGACCUGGACAACAUUCAGAUCUCCAAAGACUGUGACAGCAACCUCCGACCCCGCCCCGCAGAGGGCCUGCAGGAAGAGCUGGCGUGUGAGAUGGAGCGCAUUGCCCUGGACGGAGGUGUUUCUCCCCAGCCAAUCAGAGAGCACUCCUCUGAGCGCGAGGACGACAGCAGCUCCCACUCCUCGGGAGAGCAGGCGGUUCUGGAAGUGCCUGACACUGCCGCCUUGCUCCCGCUCCACGACCCGGAGCUUUACAUCGACAUGGCAAAGAGCACGCGCUCUGUCCCCAACUACACUGAGGUGGCUUACCCCGACUACUUUGGCCACGUCCCGCCCCCCUUCCGGGAACACAUCCUGGAGAGGGUGUAUGGGGUGCAGAGGACAAAAAUCUUCCAGGACAUUGAGAGGCUAAUAUACCCCAGCGACAUUCUUGAGAGAGUGGUGUAUGAUCUAGAUCUGCAGAGCUGUCCAAUGAUCAGCGACGGGGAGGCUCUGAAAUUCAACUCUCAGUUUGAGUCUGGAAACCUGAGGAAAGCUGUGCAAGUGAGAAAAUUCGAGUAUGACCUCAUCCUGAACUCUGACAUCAACAGUAACCAUUACCACCAGUGGUUCUAUUUCGAAGUGAGCGGCAUGCGCACUGGCACCCCCUAUCGCUUCAACAUCAUCAACUGUGAAAAGUCCAACAGCCAGUUCAACUAUGGUAUGCAGGCGCUGAUGUACUCUGUGCAGGAAGCCAUCAGCGGACGGCCUCGCUGGGUUCGGACGGGGACAGACAUCUGUUACUAUAAAAACCACUUUUCCAGGAGCUCCAUUGCAGCAGGGGGACAGAAGGGCAAAUCUUACUAUACCCUGACCUUCACCGUGACCUUUCACCACAAGGAUGAUGUCUGUUACUUCGCCUACCACUACCCCUACACCUAUUCCACCCUCAAGAUGCACCUGCAGAAGCUGCAGGCCCAGUGCGCCCCCCAGAUUUACUUGCGUCAGCAGGUCCUGUGUGAGACUUUGGGGGGAAACAGCUGCCCCCUGCUAACCAUCACUGCCAUGCCAGAGUCCUCCUCCUGUGACCACAUCUGCCAAUUCAGGAACCGGCCGUACGUGUUCCUGACGGCACGGGUGCACCCUGGAGAGACCAACGCCAGCUGGGUGAUGAAGGGAACUCUGGAGUUCCUGAUGAGCUGCAGCCCUGUGGCCCAGAGCCUGAGGGAGGCCUACAUUUUUAAGAUUGUCCCCCUGCUCAACCCAGACGGAGUCAUCAACGGCAACCACCGCUGCUCUCUGAGCGGAGAGGACCUGAACCGGCAGUGGCAGAGUCCUAACGCUGAGCUGCACCCCACCAUCUUCCACACCAAGGGCCUUCUGCAGUACCUGGCUGCCACCCAGAGGGCGCCACUGGUGUUCUGUGAUUAUCACGGUCAUUCCCGUAAGAAGAAUGUGUUCAUGUAUGGCUGCAGUAUCAAGGAGACAGUGUGGCAGACUAACGUUAGUGCCACCUCCUAUGACCUUCACGAAGACCUGGGAUACAGGACUCUGCCGAAGAUCUUGAGCCAGCUGGCUCCAGCGUUCAGCAUGUCCAGCUGCAGUUUUGUGGUGGAGAAGUCGAAGGAGGCGACGGCUCGCGUUGUGGUGUGGCGCGAGAUUGGCGUGCAGAAGAGCUACACCAUGGAGAGCACGCUGUGUGGGUGUGACCAGGGCAAGUACAAGGGGCUCCAGAUGGGCACCAGGGAGCUGGAGGAGAUGGGAGCGCAGUUCUGCGUAGCCCUGCUCAGGCUGAAGAGGCUCACCUCCCCCCUGGACUUCCGCCAGCACGCACACUUCCUGGACGUAGAGAGCGAGCUGAUUGAGACCAACUGCAAAGUCAUCAGCCCCACCACCUACGUGCUUGAGGAGGACGAGCCGUCCUUCCUGGAGGAAGUGGACUACAGUGCCGAAAGCAAUGAGGAGAACGGGAACGAGACCGCUGGUGAUGACGACAGGCUGUCGGACUCUGAAUCUACCCUGCGGGACUCGCUGUCCUGAGGGAAGUCCCUCCUCCUAAGGACAGUGAGUGUGGGAGCUUGGUUAGGGGACCUCCAUUGCUAAAGACUCCUGGCCACCCUGUCAGAGCUCCUCGGGAGUCUUCACCUUCUCCACAAAACCCCCUAAUGCUGUCUCUGGCAGGAACAGUCACCUCUUACAACAGGAACACCAGUCUGGCUGCUUUUCCUGGACUCUGUAGAGCGGUUGGACCACAUCCACUUGUGGUCAGAGAGUUAAACCCUGGAGGGGAGAGCGGGAGGAGGAGCCACGAAGGGGAGGUGUGGAAUUUUAAUCCCGGGGAAACGCAACGCUCUCCUGCAGUUCCUGACAUGUUCCCCACACAGCCCUGGAGCGCAGAGACAAAGGGCCCCCUAA